rnacentral:rRNA from 1 species
GAUCAUGGCUCAGGAUGAACGCUGGCGGCGUGCCUAAUACAUGCAAGUCGAGCGAACAGACGAGGAGCUUGCUCCUCUGACGUUAGCGGCGGACGGGUGAGUAACACGUGGAUAACCUACCUAUAAGACUGGGAUAACUUCGGGAAACCGGAGCUAAUACCGGAUAAUAUAUUGAACCGCAUGGUUCAAUAGUGAAAGACGGUUUUGCUGUUACUUAUAGAUGGAUCCGCGCCGCAUUAG